UACCUGGUUGAUCCUUACAGUAGUCAUAUACUUUUCUCAAAUAUUAAGCCAUGCAUGUGUAAGUAUGAACAAAUUCAGACUGUGAAACUACGAAUGGCUCAUUAAAUAUAUUAUACUUUUAUCGUAUCUACCACUCGGAUAACCGUCAUAAUUAUAGAGCUAAUAAAUGCAAAAAACCCCAACUUUUGGAAGGGAUGCAUUUACUGGUUAAAAGUUUGAUGCGGUCUUUACAAAUUUCUAUGAUGAUUCAUGAUAACUCGAUAGAUCCUACGUCAUAGUUUCGGCAACGCUUCAUUCAAAUUUUUGCCCUAUAGACUUUUGAUGGUAGGAUAGUGGCCUACGAUGGUGGUGAUGAGUUACAGAGUAUAAGGGUUCGAUUAUAGUGAGGGAGCCUGAGAAAUGACUACCAUAUCCAAGGAAGGUAGUAGGACCGCCAAUUACCCUAUCCUAACACGUGGAGGUAAUUAUAAUAAGUAACAAUAUCGGGCUCAAUGAGUAUAGUAAUUGGAAUUAGUACAAUCUAAAUCCCUUAACAAGGAAUCAAUGGAUGUAUAGUGUUAUUACAGUAGCUACGGUAAUCAAGAUCCAACAACGUAUAUUUAUGUUGUUGUACUUAAAAAGCUCGUAGUUGUACUUAGGGAUGGGCCAGUCGGUCCGCUUAUUGUGAUCACCGAUUAUCUCAUCUGUCCUUUUGGUGAUGCACAACUGGCCUUAAUAGGCUGGUUUAUGUCUCUGAUACUGUUACUUUGAAGAAAUUAUAGAGCUCAAAGCAAGCCUAUACUCUAAUACAUUAGCAUGUGAUAACAUCAUAGGAUUUUUGUCCUAUUAUGUAAGCCUUUGAGAUCGGUGUAAUGAUUAACAGGGAUAAUCGUGGGCAUUCAUAUUUCAUAGUCAGAGGUGAAAUACUUUAAUUUAUGAAAGACAAACAUCUGCUAAAGCAUUUUCCAACAAUGUUUUCAUUAAUCAAGAACAAAAGUUGGGGGCUCAAAGACGAUAAGAUACCAUCCUAGUCUCAACAAUAAAUGAUACCUACCAUGGAUCGACAGAUGUUGCUUUUAGGACUUCGUCAACACCAUAUAAGAAAUCAAAGUUUUUGGGUACUAGUGAGGCAGUAUAGUCGAAAGGCUAAAACAUAAAGGAAUUGAUGGAAGAGCACCACUAGGAGUGGAGCCUACGGCAUAAUUUAACUCCAAAUAGGAAAACUUACCAAGUCCAGACAUAGUAAGGAUUGAAAGACUGAGUGCUCUUUCUUGAUUCUAUGGGUUAUGGCGCAUGGUCAUUCUUUGUUGGUUGAGCAAUUUAUCUAGUUAAUUUUAUUAAUGAACAAGACAUCAGCCUGCUAACAAGCUCUGCGGAGGUAUCCCUUUGUGUCUAGAUUCUUAGAGGGACUAUGACCUUUUAGGCCUUAGAAGUUUGAGGGAAUAACAGUUCUAUGAUGUCCUUAGAAGUUUUGGGCCGCAGGCAUGCUACACUAAUAUAUUCAAUGAGUUUUUAGCCUUGGCAACUAGGCCCAGGUAAUUUUUUAAAUUUCAUUGUUAUACGUAUAAAUCAUUGUAACUGUUUAUCUUCAAUGAGGAAUUGCUAGUAAGUGCGAGACAUCAUCUCAUGUUGACUAUGUCCCUGCCUUUUGUACACACCGCUUGUCUCUCCUACCAAUUGAAUGAUCUGGUGAAAUGUUUGGAUCACAGUGAUAUGGGCGAUUCGCUACCUACGACAUUGCAAGAAGUCCAUUGAGCCUUAUCAUUUAGAGGAAAGGAGAAGUCAUAGCAAGAUUUCCAUAGGUGAACCUACAGAAAGAUUAUUG
rfam:Capsicum annuum cultivar Zunla-1 chromosome 6, whole genome shotgun sequence